CCAGACUCCUACGGGAGGCAGCAGUGGGGAAUAUUGCACAAUGGGGGAAACCCUGAUGCAGCGACGCCGCGUGAGUGAAGAAGUAUUUCGGUAUGUAAAGCUCUAUCAGCAGGGAAGAUAAUGACGGUACCUGACUAAGAAGCCCCGGCUAACUACGUGCCAGCAGCCGCGGUAAUACGUAGGGGGCAAGCGUUAUCCGGAUUUACUGGGUGUAAAGGGUGCGUAGGUGGCAUGGCAAGUCAGAAGUGAAAGCCCGGGGCUCAACCGCGGGACUGCUUUUGAAACUGUUAAGCUUGAGUGCAGGAGAGGUAAGCGGAAUUCCUAGUGUAGCGGUGAAAUGCGUAGAUAUUAGGAGGAACACCAGUGGCGAAGGCGGCCUGCUGGGCUUUAACUGACGCUGAGGCUCGAAAGCGUGGGGAGCAAACAGGAUUAGAUACCCGCGUAA
rnacentral:rRNA from 1 species